GCCGCAGUCGCGCGCUUGCACUCUCAGCGGAGACAACAUUACCCGUCGUACAAGUUCAUUUAUUUGCCGUAUAUCGCGUAUACCUGUUUCUCGCCCCCGUUAUUGUCCGGCCCGAUAAGAGAGAACCCCCCACCCCCGCCCCUUGUUCCCACGUUAACCCCGUUCGCGGUUAACGGCUGGACAUCCCCGUUACGCGUCCAUAUUUAUCGCGUUGCACACAACAACGCGUACAAUAAACUUGACCUCGGGGGGGGCUUGUGUGUUUCGAAUCGUCGAGUUUUUCUCAACGAUUAUCAAUAAUAAUCAUCGUCGUCGUCGUCGGUUAUAUUAUAUACAGUGACGUGCACGUGUGUAUUAUUAAUACCUUCGUUCAUCGUUGUGUGGUUAUUCGAAAUUUUUUUUUAUUAUUUAUCGUUGUAUUUUUUUUUCUCUAUCUUUCUUUUCGAUGCAUUUGUUUCCAUCGUAAUAUACUCAAGUAUUUCUUUACUUCUCAAUAAUCUGUGUGGGUUUUAUUUUGAAACUGGUUUACAUACGUUCGUCGAGAAGAAUUGUUAAUAACUAACUGUUCUCAAAAGACAGCAUCCCCCUGCAGUAACACGGACUAUCAAUUCAACACACCGACUGGGAUAUCUCGAGAGGAACGGUUGUUAUAUGGUUGUGGAAGCUGAGCUUUUGGCGGAGGGUGAAAGUGCAUCCUUUCGCGGCGAUGUGGCUCAGUGGCGAGACGCGCGGAGGUGAUAACAGCUUCUGACCUUCCGUCUGUUUCUCGUCUGUCCCCCCCGCGUCGCGUGUUUGUGUGUGUGUGUGUGUUUUCAAUCCUCGUCAGUCGUCGUUGAUCGGUAUCGUCGCGACGAGUCCGCACGCUGUUCGUAACGAGAGCGCAGUUUUUCACUCGCGUAUAAAAAAAGUGUGCGAGUUUCGUCGUUUAUUUUCAUUGCUUACGUCUUAUUAUUGUUAUUGUUAUAUCCCUCCGACGACUGUAAUCAUCAUCGUCAUCGUCAUCGUCAUCGUCAUCCCGAAGCGAUUGAAAUUAUUCUUCCUACAUUUUGUUAAAUUGUUUCUCUCUCCCCGUUCAUAGUCGUUCGUUUCUCUCCGACGGACCGUCAAGACUCUAUUUUCCGCUCUCAUCCCGUUAGUGUUAAAUCGGCAAUAUUCGUAAACCGGUGAAUCUUACGCGCGCGAUAAGAAUGAAAUUUUAAAAAAACAAAUCGUUAAUAUAAAUAACAAACAAACAAACAAACAAAGAAACAAACAAAGCAAAACAAUAUAAAACAAAUACCUCAUCAUACCUACAAAGUACCUCUCGUCGUUCGAACCUUCAGCGCAAUAGUGCCUAGGCCCUGUAACUAACGUGAAAACAAAACAAAACAGAACGAAAAAAAUUUAAACAAAAAAAAAAAAAAAACAAAUAAAGAAGCAACAAAAUAAAAGAUAAUAGUAAUUUAGUAACGUCUUAACAACACUUUUAAACAGAGAGAAAAGAAGAAACGAACAAAUUAAUUGAAAACAACAUCAUCAUCGAGUGACUUACGUGUACGAGUGAGUGCGAUAGGAGAGAGAGAGAGAGAGAGAGUCGUCGUAUUAAGAGGUCAAGGAUACGGAAGAAGUGUGAAAUAUGAAAAAGAGUUUAAAUUCGACGGAGGAAAGACAGAGAUAAAGUGAAAAGCUAUAUAUUAUAUAUAUAUAUUACAUAUAUAUAUAUAUAUAGAUAUCAUAUAUAUUUAAGAAAGAAAGGAAAAGAAAACAAACAAACAAACCUAUAUACUAAACAAAUAAUAAUCAAGCAAGCACAUAAUAACAAUAAUAAUAGUCGUAGAUUGAAAAGGAAUGAAAUAAACAAAGUUGUUAACCGCAACGUAAUUCAGGACAGUUGAGUACCUCCAGAUUAUCUAUUUAUUAUAAAAAAAAAAAAAAAAGAAAAGAAAAGAAAAUAAAAUAAAGAAAAAGAGAAACACGCGAUAUUAUUGUCUAUUGAAAACGGUUUAAUAGUAAUGAUAAAUAGUGUACACCGGUUGCAAUAUUCUUCGCACGUGCUAUUUUAAUAAAUUAAAAAAAAAAGAACAAACAAACAAAAAAGAAACAGUGAAAGAAAACCACAACAAUAUUCAUGAUAACAAAUGUAAACGGUAUUAAACGGUAUACAUAUAACUAAAGUUUUAAUAUAUCUACAAGAAUAACGAUAUUAAUAUUAAUAUUAUCAUUAUUAUUAUUAUUAUUAUAAUUAACACUACAACAGAAACUAUCGAUGACGUUGAAAAAAAUCUCGGUUAACCGAACAUCCCUUCCUCCCCCCCACGUCGGUCUACCUUAAAGAUACACCGAUCGUAUUUACCUCGCAACCCGUGGUAUAGGUCUAAGGAGAUAUCAUCGGUAUCGAGUACGACAAAGAUGCGUUAGAAAACUAACGUUUGUUAAGCAACAUCGAAAAGAGGUUGAACAGUAACAAAAGUUAUCACGAAUCAGCCCUCGACGUAUUCGAGGAGUGAAGUGCGAGAAAGGUAAUCCCCGAUAAAGUGACGCGUGCAGUUUCAUCAGGCUCUGGCGCGAGCGAAAAGAAAAAGAAAAAGAAGAAGAAGAAGAAGACGAAGAAGAAGAAGAAGCGACAGUGGAGAACGCGGCCGCGGGAUGUAAACGUCCGAGAAUGAAAAGUUUGUUUAGUUUUUCUACGAUCAAUUGUUGUAUGUAAGAAGGGAGGGGAUAAAAAAAAAAAGAAAAAGAAAGACAGAAAGAAAAGAAGGUGCGACGAAAAA